GUGCCUAUAGUGUAAUGGUUAGCACUGAGACCUGUGGAGUCUUCAGUUCGAGUUCGAAUCUCGAUAGGCACCCA
rnacentral:tRNA from 1 species